CGAUGGUAAUUGGGGGCUGUCCCCCUGUGAGAGUAGGUCACUGCCAGGC
rnacentral:rRNA from 1 species